rnacentral:lncRNA from 1 species
AAUUAUUCCAUUCCAUGGUAUAAUGUUCCCUUUAGUGUGAUAUAUAUGACAAUAAUAUAUCAAAGAUCAUAUUAUCUCUUACCGAAAUAUAAGCGAAGUGUUGCAUAUUUUCCUAUGUUGAUAACUGUUCUGCAAUCCAACAACCGUAAAGUAAGACAUGACCAACAAGUCGAUCUCACCUUACCUAUACGAUUUUUUGAAGGAGAAAGUGACAAUAAAAAGAUAGAGAAAUUAAUCAUUACGGUAUAGUGCGAUAAUUUAUAGCAUUUUUUAGAAAAAUGUAAAAUCUUGCAAUAUUAAGA